rfam:Gorilla gorilla gorilla genomic chromosome, chr6, whole genome shotgun sequence
GCUGUGAUGGCCGAGUGGUUAAGGUGUUGGUACUCGAAAUCCAAUGGGGGUUCCCCGCGCAGGUUCAAAUCCUGCUCACAGCG